GACGUAGGGCGCGAGCGUUGUCCGGAUUUAUUGGGCGUAAAGAGCUCGUAGGCGGCUUGUCGCGUCGAAUGUGAAAUCUCAGAGCUCAACUCUGACAUUGCAUUCGAUACGGGCAGGCUAGAGUUCGGUAGGGGAGACUGGAAUUCCUGGUGUAGCGGUGAAAUGCGCAGAUAUCAGGAGGAACACCGAUGGCGAAGGCGGCAUCCUGGACCGGCAUUGACGCUGAGGCGCGAAAGCCAGGGGAGCAAACGGG
rnacentral:rRNA from 1 species